AACUAAUCAAGUUGAUCCUAUAAAUUCAGCAUUUAAUUAAUAAGGGCAUGAAACCAUGAGCUCAAAAGGAGCCAGGGACCCAGGCACUACUGGUCGGUGUCAGGAACCGUUAUGAUGUAUUUGUAGGACUGAGUCACAAUAGGCUGGGGUGAUAGGAGGACAGCAGAGUAAGUUAAAUUCAGAUGGAAGAAGGCCAAGUCAAGAAGGGACCAUGCUGAAGCCCAAAACAUCCAAACUGGUAACAAACCUUACAAGAGCACAGACUACAGAGACAUGGUCCUUAACAUUAUUGGAUGUGCAAACUGACAAGCUCUGCAUGGGAUUCAAGGGGAUCACCUCUAGUAGAACCAGCAGCUACUGCAUCAGAAGGCAUCAAAUAAGGCUUAAAGAAGUCUUUGUCAAAGACAGAUAAUGAUGAUGAUUAUGUUACAUAGUGCCAGGGCGGUGUAUGGUUCCUGGUCCCCGCUUCGAUCUCCACACCUGCUCAUCAUCACUCACCUGCUGCUCAUCAUUCAUGAUUGCUCGUGCCAUUAUUUAAUGCCACACUGGAGUGCUGUUUUUCACUGGAUUGUUGUACUUAUCUCGGGAUCUGUUUCCUGUUUUCUGUGGACCCAUUUUGGUUGAGAGUGAGUGUGAGUGAGUCACAGACUGUGUGAAAAGGAGUGUCCUGGACCUGCCCCUGGAUUUGCGUCUGAGUGCUGCCUGACCAUCCAUGACAACAUAGUCUUUGAAAUUAUGUAACUUUUGUUAUUUAAAGGACACCUUCAAAAUGUCCAUUGUUUAUAUUUAUUAGUUGUUGAGUCAGUGGACUGAAUGUUACAAAGAAAGUUACCACCAUAGCUCUUCUUUGUAACACUUGAAAUAAACACACUUAAAAGUACUGUGUUCAAGUUCAAGUUCAAGUUCAAAUUUAUUUCUAUAGCACUAUUAAAACAACAGGUGUUGAUCAAAGUACUGUACAAUAAAAUGGACAAGGCAAUAAACAUAAAAAACAGAAUAGUGUUUUAGAAGAGAAUAAAAUCAUAUAAAAAAGAGAAUAAAAUCAUAAAAAGAUAAUAAAAUCAUUAAAAAGAAUAAUAGUAACAAACUCAUGAUGAAUCAAAAGCCAGAGAAUAAAAAUGGGUCAGACGACUUUUAAAAGUAUCCAAUGUUGGGGAGGAUCUGAUAUGCAAAGGCAAUGUAUUCCAGAGUUUAGCGGCAGUCACAGCAAAUGCCCGGUCUCCUCUGUGUUUUAAUCUGGACCUAGGGAUAACCAAAAGCAUUUGGUCCACAGACCUCAAGGAUCUUGGGGGAGAAUACCAGGUUAGGAGAUCAGCAAGAUAUGUAGGGGCUAGUCCAUGCAACGACUUAAAAACAAGUGUUAAGAUCUUAAAGUCAAUUCAAAAGCUGACUGGCAGCCGGUGUAGUGAUGCAAGUAUAGGAGAUAUAUGAUCUCGCUUGCGUGUGCCAGUUAGGAGCCGUGCUGCGGCGUUUUGAACUGGCUGCAGUUGGCCAAUUGAUGAAGAGGUGACACCAGAGUAGAGACUAUUACAGAAGUCGAGGCAACAUGAGAUGAAGGCAUGGAUCGCUUUCUCAAAAUUUCUGAAACAGAGAAAGGGCUUAACUUUUGUAAUUAGGCGAAGAUGAAAGAAACUGGUUUUGACUACAUUGUUUAUCUGUUUAUCAAAUGUUAAAUUGCUGUCAAAAAUCACCCCUAAAUUUCUUGCAAAUGGUUUUUUAUAAUUUUCUAAGGGGCCAAGGUCAUAAUGGUCAGAAGGACCAAAGACAAUGACCUCGGUUUUCUGUUCAUUUAGAUUUAGAAAAUUUAGAGCCAUCCAUGCCUUGACAUCUUCUAGACAAUCAAACAGUCCCUUCAGAAGAUUCACAGAUUUUCAUUUUAGUGGAAGGUAAAUCUGAGAAUCAUCUGCGUAACAGUGAAACGAAAUUGCAUAUUUUUUUAAAAAUAGAUCCCAACUGGAGCAUAUAAAUUGAAAAAGGGACUGGACCAAGGAUAGAGCCCUGGGGGACCCCGCUAAAAAGGGUCGUCUUUGGAGACAAUUUAUCUCUGAGUCUAACAGAGAAAGUACGAUUAGAUAAGUAGGAUUUAAACCAUUCCAAAGCAAGCCCUUUAAUUCUGGCACAUUGUUCCAGUCGAGAGAUAAGAAUCCUGUAAUCUACUGUGUCAAAAGCAGCACUGAGGUCCAAUAAUAUUAAAAUAGCAGAAUCUCCCGAGUCGGUAAAAGUUGAGAGGUCAUUAGAAACUUUUAAAAGAGCGGUUUCAGUGCUGUGGUGCAUUUUAAAACCAGAUUGGAAUAGUUCACCAAUGUCGUGUUGGUCUAAAAAGGUCUGGAGUUGCAGAAGGACAAUUUUCUCCAGAACUUUUGACAAAAAGGACAAUUUAGAGAUUGGGGGGUAAUUUGAUAGAACUGUUGAGUCCAGAUUCUGCUUUUUAAGGAUGGGUUCCACAGCAUGUUUAAAAGCAGUGGGAGGAUUAAGAACUGAGUUUAUAAUACCAAAUAAAAUCCAAGGUUUAUGACAGUUGUUGGACACGAUCUUGGAAAAGUAUUUUGUUUUAGCUGCUCUUACAGCUUUCUGGUAACUUGACAGGGAUUCUCCAAGUGCCCCAAACGACACUUGGAGACGGUCCUUUUUCCACUUUCUUUCCACUUUUCUACAUGCCCAUCUGCGUUCCCUGGUGUCAUUACCAUGGUUGGGUUUUAGCUUUCAGAUACCUAGUGGUGCAAGGAGCAAUGGAAUCCAGUAUUUCCAGACAAGCUGAGUUGAACAGGGAAAGCAGACUAUCAGUGUUCAAAUGAGUGGUACUGUUAGUAGGUAAUGCCUGAUUUAGAUUUUUGUAGGAACGGGCGAAGCGAUCUGCUGUAUUUGAAUUGAUCGUGCGAGAUCGGAGUUUGGGCACAACAGAUCUACCAGGCUGACCUAAAAAGGGAAACUCAAAUAGGACAGGCAUGUGGUCUGAAAAAUUUAUGUUACAGAUUUCAGUGUCAAUGAGUGAUAGGCCAUAAGAGAGUAGAGAUCCAGGGUAUGACAGAGUUCGUGAGUUGGGCCUUUGACUAACUAAACAAGAUUAAAUGAGUCUAUAAGGUUUAAAAAAUCAUUGGUCAAUGGGGUAUUUAAACAGCAAACAUGAAUAUUAAAAUCCCCUACGAUUAAAACACUGUCGUACUUUGGUAGAAUACCUGCCAAGAAUUCAGAAAAGUCUUGUAUAAAGUUCUUAUUAUAUUUAGGAGGUCGAUACACCAGCUCACAUAGCACCAUUGUGGACAAGUGGAUUUCAAAUAACUGGAGUUCAAAACUGCCAUAAGCGUCCACUGUUAACUGCCGACAAUUAAAGCGUUUUUUAUAAACAGUGGCUAAUCCUCUGCCUCGACCAGACGUUAGGGGCGAGUUGAGGUAGUUGCAGUCAGGGGGGACAAGUUCAGAGAACGGGCUCAACUCACCCAAGUUCAGCCAAGUUUCGGUCACCAGGAGAAAGUCCAAAUUCCGAGUGGUGAAAAAAAUCAUUCAAAAUGAAGGUUUUGUUGGCUAGCGAUCUAGCGUUAACCAGGCCCAGUUUAGCUAGGGUGGAAUUCCCCGCUGGCCGGGAUGAUCGGCAUAGGGGGAGAAGGUUUUGAUAAUCCACUCCCGCUCUGCGAAGAUGACGGAUGCCGAGGGCGCUGGAUAUUAAGAUGUGGAGUCACCGGUAUAAUCCAACGGGGAGCCGAAUCCAGGGAGCGCCAGGAGAUAAACCAUUUGUUGUCCGGGGCGAGGUUCUUAAGAAGAAUACGAGGAUUAGUCACAGGGAAUAUCGCCGUGAAUGCCGCCACACAACUUUUUGAGUUUGACCAGUAUUCCGGCUCAUUUCCCUCGCCUUCUGUGGUGUUUCUUCCCGAGGGGAAGGCUAGGUGGAUAACUGCGGAGAAACAAAGGUAUGGUUUCUACCACAGGUGGAACACGGAAAUCCUCACAUCCUGGGGGCUUUCGGUACUGCUCCUCGACAGUGGCACGGAUAUUUAAAAGCGAUUUGAAGUCGUAGACCCGAAGAAUAGUGGCAGUAUUAAAGAAAACAGAUAUUAACAGAGCUAGUAGAAACAGUACAGGUAGCAGCUGACAGCUGGCCGAACACACACAGGGGCCAUCUUGCCACCUAUAGUCCCAUCAGCGAUUAC